CGCGGGCCACUACGUUCGCUACUCUCGUUGUACUCUUCGAACGAUGACCUGGAGCUUGCUCUAGGGAAUUAGUGGCGAACGGGUGAGUAACACGUGAGUAACCUGCCCUUGACUCUGGGAUAACCUCCGGAAACGGAAGCUAAUACCGGAUACGACGUACGGAGGCAUCUCCUGUACGUGGAAAGAACUUCGGUCAAGGAUGGACUCGCGGCCUAUCAGGUAGUUGGUGAGGUAACGGCUCACCAAGCCUACGACGGGUAGCCGGCCUGAGAGGGUGACCGGCCACACUGGGACUGAGACACGGCCCAGACUCCUACGGGAGGCAGCAGUGGGGAAUAUUGCACAAUGGGCGCAAGCCUGAUGCAGCAACGCCGCGUGAGGGACGACGGCCUUCGGGUUGUAAACCUCUUUUAGUAGGGAAGAAGCGAAAGUGACGGUACCUGCAGAAAAAGCACCGGCUAACUACGUGCCAGCAGCCGCGGUAAUACGUAGGGUGCGAGCGUUGUCCGGAAUUAUUGGGCGUAAAGAGCUCGUAGGCGGUCUGUCGCGUCUGCUGUGAAAACCCGAGGCUCAACCUCGGGCCUGCAGUGGGUACGGGCAGACUAGAGUGCGGUAGGGGAGAAUGGAAUUCCUGGUGUAGCGGUGGAAUGCGCAGAUAUCAAGAGGAACACCGAUGGCGAAGGCAGUUCUCUGGGCCGUAACCUGACGCUGAGAGCGAAAGCGUGGGGGAGCGAACAGGAUUAGAUACCCUGGUAGUCCACGCCGUAAAC
rnacentral:rRNA from 1 species